rnacentral:rRNA from 1 species
UACGGAGGGUGCAAGCGUUAUCCGGAUUUACUGGGUUUAAAGGGUGCGUAGGUGGGUCUGUAAGUCAGUGGUGAAAUCUCCGAGCUUAACUCGGAAACUGCCAUUGAUACUAUAGAUCUUGAAUAUCCUGGAGGUGAGCGGAAUAUGUCAUGUAGCGGUGAAAUGCUUAGAUAUGACAUAGAACACCUAUUGCGAAGGCAGCUUACUACGCAUAUAUUGACGCUGAGGCACGAAAGCGUGGGGAUCAAACAGG